CACGUAGGCGGACCAAACAGUCAGGCGUGAAAGCCCCGGGCUUAACCUGGGAACUGCGUUUGAUACUGCUGGUCUAGAGUCCGGGAGAGGGUAGUGGAAUUCCCAGUGUAGAGGUGAAAUUCGUAGAUAUUGGGAAGAACACCGGUGGCGAAGGCGGCUACCUGGACCGGUACUGACGCUAAGGUGCGAAAGCGUGGGGAGCAAACA
rnacentral:rRNA from 1 species